UUUAGGGUUUUUUGGGUGGACCCCACCCUCUUUAGAAUAGGACUCACGGCCUUGGAAGCUCCAGCCGUCACUUUGCAUUAGGAUUUUUUUGGCUUUGAACACUUGAGAGGGCGGCAACGUUUUUAAGAUGGGGGGAGCUGAAUCUAGUUCAUGGUCUUGGAGCGUGGAGUUGUAGAUGCUCUCUUUCUGUUGUUUUGGGAAUCACACGGUGACAAUUAUUCUUUGCUGAAGAAAAAAAAUUGCUUUGUAUUUCCAUUAGAUUAUGCGUUACUUUUGUUGUAGCCGCCACUUUGCUUUGCUUAGUUUUCCUUGAAUUUCUUUUAGACAAAUGGAUGAAUUUUUAUUGAGCACCGAUCAAACUUUUGCUUUAGAUAAUCCCUACUAGCUUUCCAUUCUAGCCUAUGCUACAGAGUUGCAGCGUUGUCUUAAUAUAUUAGAUGGAUAAGAAGUUUUGAUUAGAAAGGAGUUGGUGUAUGCGGAGAGACAUUUUGUCCAACAGAUGGGACUACCCCUAAGUAUUCCAUUUUUAUUUGUCUUUCUUUGCUUUGAAGAAAAAGUGAAGCACGGUUACGUUUGAUGAUUAAAUGUGGGGAAAUCUUCGGCUUUUAUUAAAUGAGAAGUAGAUUAGGUUGAGUCUGAUGUGAUGGGAUGUUGUGGUAGUAAUUUUUCUUUUAUUUCUUUGAAAAAAAAGAAACUUGGAGAUGGAUUGGAAUGGUGAGGUCCGGUGCUUAAUUCCCUUGAACUUUGACUCCAUUUUGAAGAAUAGAAGAGGUGCAACGUGAAGAGUGCAUCCCGUUGAUGUGUUGCUGCUGUCACGGCAUUUGACAUUUUAAAUCACACUUUCCUUGAAGAAUGGUCACGGAUAAGGAGGAAGUAAUAAGCAAGACCUAUUCAACUUUUUGUUUGAAGUGAUAGCUUGAUUGGGAGUAGGUGUACACAUUGCUUGAAGAAAGUAUAGUCUUCAUUUCCUUUCUUUAUUCAAUUAGUUGGCUGUCUUCAUUUUGCAAAGAAAGGCAUAUAAUCUCAAUUGGAAACAAAAGGGGAAAUACACGUCCUGGUAGAGGAAGGCACGUUGAUUUGUGUGGUGUCAUCUAAUAAGGUUUUGCAUUUUGCUUUAAACUAGAGAAUGGUGCAGCGGUUUUGAACAUUGGCAGAUUAUCCUUAUUCCUUUAAGAAAUGACGUGUUGGAGGUUGGUGUGCAAGGAUGUCACGGUUAAAGAGUCCUAUUUUAGAAGCAUUUAUGAUUUCAAUUUCUUUGAGUAGAUGCAUAUGGACACGCGAAUUGGUAGAAGCAACUUUAUUUUUUCUUAUUUUUCUUUUGUCUUAGAAUAUUUUACAUUACGUGACUAAUUAUUUUUCAUCUCUUUAAUUGGGUGUUGCAUUUUAAUGAUUUUAACUGUGCUUAGGUAUUUGUUUACUCUAGUCUUGGGUUUAGCAUUUUCACUCUCUUUAAUGCUUUCUAUGAUGUUCGAAUGUGUUUAAUUUUUAUUUUUAAUUUCAUCACGUGCAUUCACAAACAAAACUUUUCACCAAACCCCCUCUUCGUGUUAGAAUCGAUUCUCGAAUCGCAAAAUUGGUCUUUUGGAGACGACCUAGGGGUCAUUCCCUAACUAUACUGCAUUUCUCAUAUGCAAUCAAAUUUGUAUGGGCCGCGACACCCAUCAAUAGGCUAUUCGACUAUGAAUCAAUUUGAUGAAACAAAAAACUAUAAAUAGACAGAACGCGAAUUGUUUUGUGACUUUUGUGAUCUGACAUUUUCAUUUUCCUGUUUCAUAUUGAAUUCGUUAGUAGUUCCAAGAAUUCUCCAAGAAGACGGUGAUGACCUUGCUUGAGAGGAAUUCAGAAGGAGAAGUCAUUGUUCUCACUGUUUGAUCAAUAUUCACACAGAGAGGUGCUUCUGGGUUGAUCAAGGCUUGGCAUUCUACGAAAGACUGUUGGUUUUUGAUUGAAGGCUUAGCAACCUGUGAAGUCUGCUGUGAUAGGCUUGGCAUCCUGUGAAGAAUGCUGGUGACACGUUGAGGAUUGUUUGACGUGGGUGCAGAUUGCAGGAGAGGGGAUUCUUGCUGCAAUUCUGGUUUUGUGUGUGCAACUAUAUUUGGUUUUGGGUUAGAGAGGAGAUUUAUAUUUUUGUGUGGUGCUUCUAUAAAUUCCUUGUUGUAAAAACCACAACCAUUAUAGUGUAUUUGCUUCCUGGGUUGGAAGGACACUAGAUGUAUGCAUUGUUGGCCGAACUAGUAUAAACACAGUGUUUGAAUUUUCUGAUCCCUACACUCUUUAUUUUCCAGUUGACUAUA
rnacentral:lncRNA from 1 species